rnacentral:rRNA from 1 species
GCAGGUUGAAGCGCGGGUAAGACCGCGUGGAGGACCGAACCCACCUGGGUUGAAAACCGGGGGGAUGACCUGGGGCUAGGGGUGAAAGGCCAAUCAAAUUCCGUGAUAGCUGGUUCUCUCCGAAAUGCAUUUAGGUGCAGCGUCGGUCGAUUGCGUCGCGGGGGUAGAGCUACCGGAUGCUUGCGGGCCCUUGUUGGGUACCAACAGCAGCCGAACUCCGAAUACCGUUGACGUGUAUUCCGGCAGUGAGUCGGCGGGGGAUAAGCUCCGUCGUCGAGAGGGAGACAGCCCAGACCGUCGUCUAAGGUCCCGAAGCGUGUGCUAAGUGGGAAAGGAUGUGGAGUCGCAUAGACAGCCAGGAGGUUGGCUCAGAAGCAGCCAUCCUUGAAAGAGUGCGUAACAGCUCACUGGUCUAGUGGUUCCGCGCCGACAAUGUAGCGGGGCUCAAGCACACCACCGAAGACGCGGCAGCAAUCUUCAUGGUUGCUGGGUAGGAGAGCGUCCUGCGAGGGGCGAAGCGGCCGGGUAACCGUGCCGUGGACUUCGUGGGAGUGAGAAUGCAGACAUGAGUAGCGAGAGACGGGUGAGGAUCCCGUCCGCUGGAUGACCAAGGGUUCCGGGGCCACGUUCGUCGUCCCCGGGUGAGUCGGGUCCUAAGGCGAGGCCGACAGGCGUAGUCGAAUGGAUGAACGGGUGGAUAUUCCCGUACCGACCAUGGACCGGCAAAACCGAGACGGUGAGUACUAACCUCCGCCUCGUGGUGGUUCCUUCCUUCGGGUUGGUCCCGCCGCGUGGUGUUGGGAGCGUAGCCGCAGUAGGUCAGCGCAGGGGUGACACGGAAUGGGAGCCGGCCGCGGAGGUGGUUUUCCGUGGUCAAGCACGCAGCCAGUCAUGUAGGCAAAUCCGCAUGGCGCGCAUGGCGAGGUGUGAUGAUGGGAGCCGUUAUGGCUCGAUAUCCGGUUGUCCAGGCCGUCGAGAAAAGCCUCGGCGUGAGGGCCAUGGCCGCCCGUACCCCAAACCGACACUGGUGGUCAGGUAGAGAAUACCAAGGCGAUCGAGCGAAUCCUGGUCAAGGAACUCGGCAAAUCACUCCCGUGCCUUCGGUAUAAGGGAGACCCGCUGGGGUGAACCGGCUAGCCCGGGGAGCUUUGGUGGGUGGCACAGACCAGGGGGUAGCGACUGUUUACCAAAAACACAGGUGCAUGCGAAGGCGAAAGCCGCUGUAUAUGCACUGACGCCUGCCCGGUGCCGGAAGGUUAAGAGGAUCCGUCAAUCCCUUCGGGGACGAAGCGGUGAAUUCAAGCCCCGGUAAACGGCGGUGGUAACUAUAACCAUCCUAAGGUAGCGAAAUUCCUUGUCGGGUAAGUUCCGACCUGCACGAAUGGCGUAACGACUUCCCCACUGUCUCGACCAGGAGCUCGGCGAAAUUGCAGUACGAGUAAAGAUGCUCGUUAAGCGCAGAAGGACGAAAAGACCCCGGGACCUUUACUAUACCUUGGUAUUGGCGUUAGGCGCGGAUUGUGUAGCAUAGGCGGGAGGCUUCGAAGCGGGUGCGCCAGCAUUCGUGGAGCCGCAAGGUGAAAUACCGCUCUGUUCUCGUUUGACGUCUAACCUCGACAAGUCAUCCUUGUCAGGGACAGUGCCUGGCGGGUAGUUCAACUGGGGCGGUUGCCUCCCAAAGAGUAACGGAGGCGCUCAAAGGUCCGCUCAGCCCGGUUGGCAAUCGGGUGUCGAGUGUAAUCGCACAAGCGGGCUUGACUGCGAGGACGACGGUCCGAGCAGGGACGAAAGUCGGAGAUAGUGAUCCGGUGCCGGCGCACGGGCGCGGCAUCGCUCAACGGAUAAAAGGUACCCCGGGGAUAACAGGCUGAUCAUUCCCAAGAGUCCAUAUCGACGGGAUGGUUUGGCACCUCGAUGUCGGCUCGUCGCAUCCUGGGGCUGGAGCAGGUCCCAAGGGUUCGGCUGUUCGCCGAUUAAAGCGGCACGCGAGCUGGGUUCAGAACGUCGUGAGACAGUUUGGUCUCUAUCCUCUGCGCUCGUUGGAAUCCUGAGGAGGCCUGCCCAUAGUACGAGAGGACCUGGGUGGACGAACCUCUGGUAUGCCGGUUGUC